GGCUGUACGGUGGCACAGUUGGUAGCACUGUUGCCUUGCACACAAGAAGGUUCUGGGUUCAACUCCCAGCCGGGGGUCU